GCGCGAGAACUGAAGGAGCUUGCUCUAGAUGGGAAAGCGGCGUAAGGGAGAGUAACAGGUAGAUACCUGCCCUCAGGUUUGGGAUAGCGUCGGGAAACUGGCAGUAAUACCAAAUAACAUCUCCGGAUCAAAGCUCCGGCGCCUGAGGAUGGAUCUGCUCACUAUUAGCUUGUUGGUGGGGUAAUGGCCUACCAAGGCAACGAUGGUUAGCGGGCGUGAGAGCGUGGCCCGCCUCACUGGGACUGAGACACUGCCCAGACUUCUACGGAAGGCUGCAGUCGAGAAUCU
rnacentral:rRNA from 1 species